rnacentral:miRNA from 1 species
UUGGACUGAAGGGCGCUCCCA